GAAAAAAAUACUGCGGUAGCUGCUACUAUAAAAUUGUGUUCAAACUUACUAUGGCGUUUUAUAUUGAAAAUAACAGUGAAAACAGUCAGCGAAACCGAAUUGUCGUUGUAAUUACUAUGCUCUACAUGAAUUUAGCACUAGUAAUUUCCACCAUACCUCACAGUUAAACUAACCGCUACGAAAGUACUGCUUUUGUGGUAGCAAUAACCAUGCGCGUUAAUGUCACUGAAAUUGCCGUACUUUUUUACCAUGUUUAUGGUUAUCUCAACCGUUCUGCACCGACAAAUUUCAGCUGAUCAUGCUUUGCGCUCGAUUUUACUACAAGCAUGGUAAUUUCGUUUAGAACUUGAUGUAUACGAGGCGGCGCCAUGUUGAUUCAGAUGCGAAUUCUUUCGGUCGCGGAUUUGUUGUUUAGUUUCGUUCUUAAAGAGUUUAUUGAUAAAAAAAGACCAGGAAACUUCACAAAAUACGAAUUGAAUUGUUGCAGUUUAAAAAUCGACCUGCUAGAGCAGACCGCUAAAUCAGCAGAUGCUGGGAGAGUUCCGGGAAGUGGAAAAGUUCUCACAACAACCCAAAACAGCGGCAAUCAGGAUCAAUUAGAGUCAGCUGUGUAGGAUUCUCGAUCGCUCCGGUAAAUUCUAUCCACCGAAACUUAUGGCAUCGAUCGAGACGCUGGAAUGUCUGCUGAACAUUUACAAGAUGCUGGUGAUAGGUAAGUUAUUGGACUGAUACGAACUGAACGCAUAACAUUAAUUUGAUUGAUUCUAGGUGCUGGUGGCUUGUGAACUGUUGAAAUAUCUGGCCCCAAUUAGUCAAUGGUUUUCGAUGCUGGAGUACUAAGAGGACGGAUCGGUCGAUAAAACUUUCAUGAUACCGCAGAUGGAUGGCAGAACCGAAGGAUUCAUGGCAGAACCGGACUGCGGAAAUGACGACACUCGAUUGUACGCUGGAUUUAUUUUCUUCGCAGAUAACUAAGACUGUUCUUCCACUUUACCAAAACACUUCGUCGCCGGAAUAUUGCAUCAAGCAUUCAUCUAUGCCAGUCGUCCUGUGGCCUAAUGAAAAUGCCUUCGGAAGGGACAUCGGACUGUCAAAUUAGAGUCUAUGACAUGCAGAACCUGUUCAGACUACAACGUGUCAACCGAAAUCAAUCAAAUACGGUUCUCUAGCGGCAGAAAAACUAUGAAUAAAUUAUGGUGGAUUACAAGCUUAAGUUUUAAAAAAUUCAGAUGCUCUACUUGUUAAAAUAGCAGACAAAGUGUACUAAAUAAGUAUAUCAAUUAAUGUUUUCAAAUGACGCAACAUAGAAAUAUGCUUGUUUAAUAUACUUGUUUUAUUUUAACAAGUGGAGCAUUUACUCUAUGUUAUUGCUGCAUCUAAUACAGUACAGUAAAAGAUACACUGGGCAUGGUUAAAAUUACUAUGACCGCAAAAUACUAUGUUAACACAGAGUUUGUUGAUUUUACUAUUUCUGUAGUAGAAAAAAAAUACUACAAACAUGGUAAAAACAACUGAAAGCCGGACAUGGUAAAAAUGACUGCUCAUGUAGUUGUGAUAAUACCAUAAUAUAGUCUGCUGAAAAACGCUGGUACGUUGCGAUCAAUUUAACCCCUUGAAAUGGUAUUUUCGACCGCAACAUUUUUUUGUG